rnacentral:rRNA from 1 species
GGACGAACGCUGGCGGCGUGCUUAACACAUGCAAGUCGAACGGAAAGGCCCUGCUUUUGUGGGGUGCUCGAGUGGCGAACGGGUGAGUAACACGUGAGUAACCUGCCCUUGACUUUGGGAUAACUUCAGGAAACUGGGGCUAAUACCGGAUAGGAGCUCCUGCUGCAUGGUGGGGGUUGGAAAGUUUCGGCGGUUGGGGAUGGACUCGCGGCUUAUCAGCUUGUUGGUGGGGUAGUGGCUUACCAAGGCUUUGACGGGUAGCCGGCCUGAGAGGGUGACCGGCAACAUUGGGACUGAGAUACGGCCCAGACUCCUACGGGAGGCAGCAGUGGAGAAUAUUGCACAAUGGGCGGAAGCCUGAUGCAGCAACGCCGCGUGCGGGAUGACGGCCUUCGGGUUGUAAACCGCUUUCGCCUGUGACGAAGCGUGAGUGACGGUAAUGGGUAAAGAAGCACCGGCUAACUACGUG